rnacentral:rRNA from 1 species
GUUAGGAAUAUUGGACAAUGGGCGCAAGCCUGAUCCAGCCAUGCCGCGUGAGUGAUGAAGGCCUUCGGGUUGUAAAGCUCUUUAGCCGAUGAUUAUAAUGACUGUAGUCGGAAAAUAAGCCCCGGCUAACUUCGUGCCAGCAGCCGCGGUAAUACGAAGGGGGCGAGCGUUAUUCGGAAUCACUGGGCGUAAAGCGUGCGUAGGCGGCUUUGCAAGUUGGGAGUGAAAGCCCAGGGCUCAACCAUGGAAUUGCUCUCAAAACUGCAAGGCUCGAAUUCGGGAGAGGAUAGCGGAAUUGUCAGUGUAGCAGUGAAAUGCGUAGAUAUUGACAGGAACACCAGUGGCGUAAGCGGCUAUCUGGACCGAUAUUGACGCUGAGGCACGAAAGCGUGGGGAUCAAACAGGAUUAGAAACCCUAGUAGUCC